rnacentral:rRNA from 1 species
UACGUAGGUGGCAAGCGUUGUCCGGAUUUAUUGGGUUUAAAGGGUGCGUAGGCGGUCUUUUAAGUCAGUGCUGAAAUAUCCCGGCUUAACCGGGAGGGUGGCAUUGAUACUGAAGGACUUUGAGUUCAGUCGAGGUAGGCGGAAUUGACGGUGUAGCGGUGAAAUGCUUAGAUAUCGUCAAGAACACCGAUAGUGUAGACAGCUUCUAGGCUGAAAACUGACGCUUGAGGCACGAAAAGUGUGGGGGAU